ensembl:lncRNA
AUGGGGCCUUGGCUGGUGGACAGGCCUCCAGGAGGGCUGCUCCUGGUGACAGCAGGACAUCGUCUCCAGCACAAGUCCUCAGGGUGCUCCUGGACUCAGGGGCAACGUGGCUCGCAGGCACAGAAGCAAUUCCUUUGGAAUGAGAGCCCUGACCAAGGCUGGGCGUCAGAGAAGGGUUUCCAGCAAGUUGCGGGGAGGAAGGAAACCCGCCAGUGGGACAGACGAUAUUGUCUUUUGUUUUACUUUGUAGCGCUGAUUGUUGAAUGCUUUUUGAUUUCACAAGAAUUUCUGGACUUUGUCAACUUCCUUCAGAGAUUUUGCUGGGAAAAAAAAUGGAACCAUGCUCAGUGUUCUCCUUCCCCAACCAAACCACUCAACGUUUUCAUUCAAAUCAGAAUUUUCCAUGGAUUGUAAUGCAUGUUCCUCAACCAGCAUCAACAUGGUAGGCACCGUAUAGCCCGCUAGAUAAUAUUUGUAUUCCAGCAGCAGGAACUCAGGUCAGAGCUCUCGUCUGCUGGACCUUGCAUAGAAGUGGCAACCUUGCUCUGAGGACUUCAUAAUCAGAAUAGAAAAGACAAAGGGCAAGGGAAGAGAAAAAAAAUACUAUAAAUAUGCUUUAACAGAUGGGGCGCUGAGGUGGCAGAAGAUGAAGUGAUUCAUUUGACGUCAUGAUCAUAGGAAAGCUAAGCCAAAGCGAAGAACUAAAUCCAUCCCUCUUGGAAGGCGCAGCACAUAUCUUUAACCACAGCCCAUCCUUUCCCUCUGGUGCUGUUGACUUCUGGUCGAGCCUUUGUUGUUCACUAGGGGAUGGCACUUGGCACAGGGCUAUUUGCUGAGGAUCAGUCUACUUAUGGGGAUGUUUCUUGGGCGAUCCACCGAGUAUGCCUGAUAACCACUUGUUUAUAUCAGUCCCUCCCGAGGACACCCGUCCCCUGGGUGAAGCUUUGCUUUAUGCUGGGUGUCAGCAAUGUGGAUGUUGGAGAUCCUAGGCUUUGCCACUCUUCCGGUAAUAAUAAUAACCAUGAUAACAAUCACAACAAAACCAGGGCUGGAUCUGAGUGGCUUUCCCCAGCUGCCUGGCAAGCCACAGCGACGAUGGAAGGGAUCCUGCAAGGGUGAGCACAGCACCCAUGGCACGUCCCCUCUGCGGGGAUAGCAGGACAACGAGGGGUUUAUCCUUCAACUGGGAACCAGAAAACAUGCUUGGGCUUGGUUUCAUCCCACCUGGCACACUGGCAGAUCCCUGGCAGUGCUCUCUGACCAUAACGGAAAGCAUGUAUAACACAUGACCAAAAUCUAGAGAUUUACACCCAUUUUGCGAGAGCACAAACUGGACGGUAGCCAAGGGAGCUGACCCCAUUCCUUGUCCCUCUCCUGUGUUUCUUUCAGGACAACUUUUGCAGGCCAAAUACAAGGUCUGGUGAUGGGGACAAGCCACACACCACUGGCCCCCGGAGCAGACGAUGCUUUCCCCCUUGGGGCAGCGGCAGGGCUCGGGGGAACAUGACAGCGGCGGGUGUGCUGCCGAGCCCUGCGCGGGCUGGCGUGCGGAGCGGCGGGGAUUAGGGCUGGAACUCACAGUAUUUGGGCCAUUGUGCAAUGCCGGGCAGCUGGAGGGUUUCACUUUUCAGAGGGGAAAAGAAAAUAUGAAAAACUAGAACCAGAAAACUCUUUUUUUCCCUCCUUUUUUUUGGACCUAUCCAGAGCUUUCCACAAUGCUAGUGAUUUAAACCAGGCCUGGAAUAUGAAUGCAACUCCAAUAUUUCUACCUUACUGAGUUACAUUGAUGAGUCAAGGAGCUGGCUGCGGCUGAGCGCCGCGAUGUAUAUACGCAGGCUACAGCUGAAAUCUCCCCUCGCAUAGACACCUUGUCAGCUAGGGCUGGAUCCGGAAGGUUAAUAAUGUUCUGUCCUUUUGGCUAAUUCUGUGAGCAUGGGAAAGAGAAUAUGAAUUUAAUUUAAAAUCUAGACAUUCCUUCCAGCUCUGGGACAGAGAAGACAAAGCUAAUUUCACCGGCGGGCGGAGGGAGCGGGAAGGGGGGCACAUCCUGAGCUCUGUGUCCAGGCUAAGUCUGGCCUGGGAGCUGGUUUCUAGGGGUGCUUGAGCCCAUGGAUGUAGGGGAUCGGUGCUGUUGAAUGGGGAGGAAUGAGGCUGCACCCCAACACGGGGUGGGGAAGGUGAGCAGGUGCCUGUAGUAGAGGUCGAGCGCCUUGAUGGUGGGCAUUCCUUGCUGUUUGGGAUAGGGGGCAGUGAUGGGGAAGGCCACCAGUGUCUCCUUCUUCAUGGGGACCAGGGAUGGACAGGAUCUCAGGGCCGGACCAGUGCAGGGAGCAGAGGAGUCCUGCAGCCAAACAUCUGCCCAUUGCUGAGAGCAGGCACAGGACUUUGUGCUCCACAACCCAGCCAGAAGCCCUUAAAAUGGCCUCCGCUCCCUUUUCAUCCCUCAUCCCCAUAUUCUGCCUUCUCACAGUACCCCCCUUUCCACCCCCCUGCCAAAUAAAUCUCCUUAGAGUUUAAAUAAAUGCCGUAGU